CUGCAGACGAGAUCUGCAGCUUUUGCAAGUUAUUUUUACAUGUAUCCCCAAUGACAAAAAUGCAUUAUUAAAUGCAUCCAUGUUUCCAUUGAGGGUAUAUCUACUAAACAGUGAUAUAUCUAUUUAUUUAUUUUGUUUGGCCAGCUGAGUGUCCCUUUAAAACAACACGCAGAUGUAUUCUGUGAAUGAUAGUAAUUCACUGCUCUCUCUUAGAUGACAAGGUUUUAAAUGGCAAAUCAUAAUUUUGCU